GGGGCGGGGGGGAGAGGCAGAGGAGGGGGAUGUGAGCUUUUGUCAGGUUAAUUUCUUCUGUAUUGAUGUUUUGUGACAUUUACUUGUUGUUUAUCUCCCGCAGCAGCUGUAAUACUAAAAGAAAAUGCACAGCUUGUUCCAUUUAUUUAUUUUACACCUUUUCUUCAGUCCUACGGUUCCCUGAAGAAGAGGAAACACUCGGAGGUUUUGGGUGAAAUCCUGGAGCAGCUGGAAGAGGAGGAGAGCAACAAAGAUGAGGCCAUCUAGCCGGUCGUCGGCAGCUGCCUGCCAGCCGCCCAGGGCACUCGCUGAUGGAUGGAGAGGGAGAAAACCUCUGGAUUUUCGGCGGCGAGCACACCUGUUGCCAGCUGAGUCUGCUCGUCCCGCGAAGCAGAGGGCUGACGUACACGUCUCAGCUCUCAGCCUUUUAAACAGACCCUGAAUUCGGAGCAGGAGGAAGAGCUUGUGCCCCAGGACGUCGUCUGAAACCAGCAGCAGGUACGGGGCAGCAGCACGACCCUCCCAAAGCAGCACAUUUUUUGGCACAGCGCCCUGGGGACACGGACGCUUGGCGCAAGGCCCCCCCGCCGACCCUAAAGACUGCGGCAGAAUUUGCUCUUAAUCUCCGAAUCAAAUCGUGAAUUGUACAUUAAAAGCCACGCGUAUAUUUUUAAAGAGUUUUCCAAAACUGACCGAAGCUGGGGUUUGUUUGGAUUUGGUUUUGAAUCCGCGCUCCGCACAGCCCGGCGGUGAUUUCAGCCCGAUAGGGAGAUAAGCAUAUUUUAGGAGCGAGGCCUGGGGUUUGCCGCAUUCAGCUUUGUGCCUGUGUCAUUUCUGUCCCUGCUCUUAGGCAAUUGCCUCCCGUCUCUCCCUGCCUUGCUUUCAAAGGGAAAGAGGCUUUGCUUUUCAACCAGGGUACCGCUUUACAUAUGUACGCAGCUGAUAAAGUAUUUUCACUUCGCCCCUUUCCCCUCUGGGAAUCGCUGUCUUACGGCAAAACUGUUUUGUCUGACAAGGACUGCAACAGAUUACACGUGUUGGCUGCAAACACUGGGCCU
rnacentral:lncRNA from 1 species